GGGGGCCCCGUCGCGGGCCCCGGGCGCGAGCGGGUCCAACGGCCUCUUGGCGUCGCCUGCCGCCGCAAGGCACGACGGGAGGAAAGAGGGCGGAGCGGGCGAGGGGACGAGAGAAAGGAGAAGAAGACGACGACGACGACGUCGCCGCGUUCUGUCACUUCCACCUUGGUCAAGCAAGGCACGCUGGGAAAGGAGGUCGGCUCGUGGGGCAAGAUGGGAGCGGAGAGGCGCCUUCCGCGCAGAGGCUUUCGGGAGUUGUAGUUCGGCCCUGGGCCUGAGAUGGGCCUUGUUGGCCCGAACGAUCUGGCCAGCCAUGUCUGAUCUCUGGCACUUCCUUAGCCUCUUGGACUGACUAAGGAUUGGAAGAAGGGGGAAAAUACCACAUUACCAGAGAACUGGGGGCAGGAGAGAGAGAAAAAAAUGUUGUGGGACUACACUUGGCUCUUUAUGGCUCAUCUGCGGGACGGUUCUGAUUGCUGGUUAAAAAGGAGCAUAUAUCUAAAACUUCUGUUUGCCUACCACAGUUCUGACAUUACAAUGGAGUGAAGCUGAGU